GCCUUCGUGGUGUAGUGGUCAGCACGCUCGACGCGUAACCGAGAGGUCCGUGGUUCGAUUCCCGGCAAAGGCA
rnacentral:tRNA from 1 species